AUUGAACGCUGGCGGCAGGCUUAACACAUGCAAGUCGAGCGAGCGGCGGACGGGUGAGUAAUGUCGGGGAAACUGCCUGAUAGAGGGGGAUAACUACUGGAAAGGGUAGCUCAUACCGCAUACCAUCAGAUGUGCCCAGAUGGGAUUCGUUAGGAGGGGGGGUAAUGGCUCACCUAGGCGACGAUCCCUAGCUGCUCUGAGAGGAUGACCAGCCACACUGGAACUGAGACACGGUCCAGACUCCGACGGGAGGCAGCAGUGGGGAAUAUUGCACAAUGGGCGCAAGCCUGAUGCAGCCAUUCCGCGUGUGUGAAGAAGGCCUUCGGGUUGUAAAGUACUUUCAGCGAGGAGGCGUUACCCGCAGAAGAAGCACCGGCUAACUCCGUGCCAGCAGCCGCGGUAAUAC
rnacentral:rRNA from 1 species